rnacentral:rRNA from 1 species
AUAUCCUGGCCGGAGGACAUUGCUAUUGGGAUUCGAUUUAGCCAUGCUAGUCGAGCGAGUUCAGACUCGCGGCGAAUAGCUCAGUAACACGUGGCCAAGCUCCCCUUCAGUCAGCGAUACCCUCGGGAAACUGAGGUUAACAGCCGAUACAAAACGCCAGCUGGAAUGCGGCGUUUCAGAAAGACAUCGCUGAAGGAUGCGGCUGCGGCCGAUUAGGUAGACGGUGGGGUAACGGCCCACCGUGCCAGUAAUCGGUACGGGUGAUGAGAGUCAGAGCCCGGAGACGGAAUCUGAGACAAGAUUCCGGGCCCUACGGGGCGCAGCAGGCGCGAAACCUUUACACUGCACGGAAGUGCGAUAGGGGAAUCCCAAGUGCGAGGGCAUAUUAGCCCUCGCUUUUCUCGACUGUAAGGUGGUCGACGAAUAAGAGCUGGGCAAGACCGGUGCCAGCCGCCGCGGUAAUACCGGCAGCUCAAGUGAUGUCCCAUAUUAUUGGGCCUAAAGCGUCCGUAGCU